rnacentral:sRNA from 1 species
AUCUCAUUUGCAGACACAUGGUGCUCAUUGGGGGUUACAAAAGGCGUACGUGAAUU